ACCUGUUCUCGCUGAUCCAUGGAUUUCUGUGUGACCAGGUUUCACCUAUGGAGCCGUGGCCCCGACAACCAACACUUUGGGGCACAACCUGAAGACCCUCACAGUCACCUUCCCCAUCUCCACACUCUGGUAUUCAUCAGACAGGAGCAAUGGCUCAGCCAUGUUCAACUCCACUGAGAGGGUCCUGCAGAGCCUGGCCUGAGAAGGAUGGGGCAGCCACCAGUGUGACGCCAUCUGCACCCACCACCCUGAUCCCGUGGGCCACCAUCCCUCUGUGCUGGGAGCGGAGAGU